GCACGCGCGCUACACUGAAAGAAUCAACGUGGAUACCCACCUGCUCCGAGAGGAGUGGGAAACCCGAUGAAUCUCUUUCGUGAUGGGGAUUGGGGCUUGUAAU
rnacentral:rRNA from 1 species